AGAGUUUGAUCCUGGCUCAGGAUGAACGCUAGCUACAGGCUUAACACAUGCAAGUCGAGGGGAAACGAUAUUGGAAGCUUGCUUCCGAUAGGCGUCGACCGGCGCACGGGUGAGUAACGCGUAUCCAACCUGCCCACCACUUGGGGAUAACCUUGCGAAAGUAAGACUAAUACCCAAUGAUAUCUCUAGAAGACAUCUGAAAGAGAUUAAAGAUUUAUCGGUGAUGGAUGGGGAUGCGUCUGAUUAGCUUGUUGGCGGGGUAACGGCCCACCAAGGCAACGAUCAGUAGGGGUUCUGAGAGGAAGGUCCCCCACAUUGGAACUGAGACACGGUCCAAACUCCUACGGGAGGCAGCAGUGAGGAAUAUUGGUCAAUGGACGAGAGUCUGAACCAGCCAAGUAGCGUGCAGGAAGACGGCCCUAUGGGUUGUAAACUGCUUUUAUAAGGGAAUAAAGUGAGAGUCGUGACUCUUUUUGCAUGUACCUUAUGAAUAAGGACCGGCUAAUUCCGUGCCAGCAGCCGCGGUAAUACGGAAGGUCCGGGCGUUAUCCGGAUUUAUUGGGUUUAAAGGGAGCGUAGGCCGGAGAUUAAGCGUGUUGUGAAAUGUAGACGCUCAACGUCUGCACUGCAGCGCGAACUGGUUUCCUUGAGUACGCACAAAGUGGGCGGAAUUCGUGGUGUAGCGGUGAAAUGCUUAGAUAUCACGAAGAACUCCGAUUGCGAAGGCAGCUCACUGGGCACCAACUGACGCUGAGGCUCGAAAGUGUGGGUAGCAAACAGGAUUAGAUACCCUGGUAGUCCACACCGUAAACGAUGAUUACUAGGUGUUGGAGGAUUGACCCCUUCAGUGCCGCAGUUAACACAAUAAGUAAUCCACCUGGGGAGUACGACCGCAAGGUUGAAACUCAAAGGAAUUGACGGGGGCCCGCACAAGCAGUGGAGUAUGUGGUUUAAUUCGACGCAACGCGAAGAACCUUACCAAGUCUUGACAUCCUGCGACGAUGCUAGAAAUAGUAUUUUCCUUCGGGACGCAGAGACAGGUGGUGCAUGGUUGUCGUCAGCUCGUGUCGUGAGAUGUUGGGUUAAGUCCCGCAACGAGCGCAACCCUUAUGGUCAGUUACUACGCAAGAGGACUCUGGCCAGACUGCCGUUGACAAAACGGAGGAAGGUGGGGAUGACGUCAAAUCAUCAUGCCCUUUAUGACUUGGGCUACACACGUACUACAAUGGCGUUAAACAAAGAGAAGCAAGACCGCGAGGUGGAGCAAAACUCAGAAACAACGUCCCAGUUCGGACUGCAGGCUGCAACUCGCCUGCACGAAGUCGGAAUUGCUAGUAAUCGUGGAUCAGCAUGCCACGGUGAAUACGUUCCCGGGCCUUGUACACACCGCCCGUCACACCAUGAGAGCCGGGGGGACCCGAAGUCGGUAGUCUAACCGCAAGGAGGACGCCGCCGAAGGUAAAACUGGUGAUUGGGGUGAAGUCGUAACAAGGUA
rnacentral:rRNA from 1 species